UGGUGGUGCAUUUGGCAAUGGAAAAGGACUCUUAAGCUAAUGGUCAAUUGAGACGGAGUGAUAGCAGAAUCACAGAUCAAAGCCAGUUUUAGUAUAAACGGAAGUUGUGAAGACAGAAAAGAACCUAUAUCAUGCUACUCAUGCUGUGAGGAGGAGCCUACUUCUUAAGACUGGAACUAUUAAACAUAGUAUUGCCUUUAGCUCAAUUUUAGUGUGGAAAAUUGUAUUUGAGCAAUUUAAACAUUUUCUGUCCUCUGGCUAUUGGAAUAUGAAUUAAAUUUGUUAGAAAAAUAUGUUUGUUCUCUGGAGAUUAAAAGAGGGUUAAAUUCUACUCGACGUAUAUGUACAUAAUAUGGAAUUACUUGCCGAAGUUUAAACCUGC
rnacentral:lncRNA from 1 species